rnacentral:rRNA from 1 species
GCAGCCGCGGUAAUUCCAGCUCCAAUAGCGUAUAUUAAAGUUGUUGCAGUUAAAAAGCUCGUAGUUGAAUUUUAGGCCUGGCCGGAUGGUCCGUCUUUGGCGAGUACUGUUCUGUCGUCGGGUCUAUCCUUCUGGUGAGCCGGGAUGCCCUUUAUUGGGUGUGUCGGGGAACCAGGACCAUUACCUUGAAAAAAUUAGAGUGUUUAAAGCGGGCAUUUGCUUGAAUAGAUUAGCAUGGAAUAAUAGAAUAGGACGUUGGUUCUAUUUUGUUGGUUUUAGGACCACCGUAAUGAUUAAUAGGGAUAGUUGGG